rnacentral:miRNA from 1 species
CCUGGAUGUGGGUUCCGUCU